rnacentral:rRNA from 1 species
GACGAACGCUGGCGGCGUGCUUAACACAUGCAAGUCGAACGGAAAGGCCCUGCUUUUGUGGGGUGCUCGAGUGGCGAACGGGUGAGUAACACGUGAGUAACCUGCCCUUGACUUUGGGUAACUUCAGGAAACUGGGGCUAAUACCGGAUAGGAGCUCCUGCUGCAUGGUGGGGGUUGGAAAGUUUCGGCGGUUGGGGAUGGACUCGCGGCUUAUCAGCUUGUUGGUGGGGUAGUGGCUUACCAAGGCUUUGACGGGUAGCCGGCCUGAGAGGGUGACCGGCCACAUUGGGACUGAGAUACGGCCCAGACUCCUACGGGAGGCAGCAGUGGGGAAUAUUGCACAAUGGGCGGAAGCCUGAUGCAGCAACGCCGCGUGCGGGAUGACGGCCUUCGGGUUGUAAACCGCUUUCGCCUGUGACGAAGCGUGAGUGACGGUAAUGGGUAAAGAAGCACCGGCUAACUACGUG